rnacentral:rRNA from 1 species
GAUGAACGCUGGCGGCGUGCCUAAUACAUGCAAGUCGAGCGAACAGACGAGGAGCUUGCUCCUCUGACGUUAGCGGCGGACGGGUGAGUAACACGUGGAUAACCUACCUAUAAGACUGGGAUAACUUCGGGAAACCGGAGCUAAUACCGGAUAAUAUAUUGAACCGCAUGGUUCAAUAGUGAAAGACGGUUUUGCUGUCACUUAUAGAUGGAUCCGCGCCGCAUUAGCUAGUUGGUAAGGUAACGGCUUACCAAGGCAACGAUGCGUAGCUGACCUGAGAGGGUGAUCGGCCACACUGGAACUGAGACACGGUCCAGACUCCUACGGGGGGCAGCAGUAGGGAAUCUUCCGCAAUGGGCGAAAGCCUGACGGAGCAACGCCGCGUGAGUGAUGAAGGUCUUCGGAUCGUAAAACUCUGUUAUUAGGGAAGAACAAAUGUGUAAGUAACUAUGCACGUCUUGACGGUACCUAAUCAGAAAGCCACGGCUAACUACGU